AAUUACCUACGGGGGGCAGCAGUGGGGAAUAUUGGGCAAUGGGCGCAAGCCUGACCCAGCAACGCCGCGUGAAGGAAGAAGGCUUUCGGGUUGUAAACUUCUUUUAAGAGGGAAGAGUAGAAGACGGUACCUCUUGAAUAAGCCACGGCUAACUACGUGCCAGCAGCCGCGGUAAUACGUAGGUGGCAAGCGUUGUCCGGAUUUACUGGGUGUAAAGGGCGUGUAGCCGGGACGGCAAGUCAGAUGUGAAAUCCCGAGGCUCAAACUUGGAACUGCAUUUGACACUGUUGGUCUUGAGUAUCGGG
rnacentral:rRNA from 1 species